rnacentral:lncRNA from 1 species
UAGGCGGGACUUCCGCGUCUCUGCAGGCCAGCUUGGAGACCGCAGGGAAAGGAGAGGAGUUUUUUCACCAUUCUUUGGAGGGGAAAAAGGUGACCAGCCAUGUGAGAUCUCUUGCGGAGUAGCCAUAGGCUGCUUCUAUAGGUGGAAAGAAGAUGGCGUUUAAGCCUGACAGAAAGGGAGGCUGGUUCUUCAAUGAGAGCAUACAGAAAAGAUUUCAGAAGGAAGAAAAAAGGAAGGAAGGAGAUGAAAGAUAUGAUCGUGGUAACAGUUCCUUGGUGUGUACCUCCCUUAAGACUUGUACCAAGAAAGCCGGGCAGAGGUUAUCAGCUGUGGAACUGGGACCUAUGCAAGGAAGAGAGCUGCCCUGCUGUAAGACCACAGGAACAAUGGUUGACAACCAACCUAUCUUCCAACCAGGCUUCCAGCCUGCAAAUAAAUGAAGUGC